rnacentral:rRNA from 1 species
CAGUCGCCGCGGUAAUCCGGAGGGUGCAAGCGUUACUCGGAAUCACUGGGCGUAAAGGACGCGUAGGCGGAUUAUCAAGUCUCUCGUGAAAUCUAACGGCUUAACCGUUAAACUGCUUGGGAAACUGAUAAUCUAGAGUAAGGGAGAGGCAGAUGGAAUUCUUGGUGUAGGAGUAAAAUCCGUAGAGAUCAAGAAGAAUACCCAUUGCGAAAGCGAUCUGCUGGAACUUAACUGACGCUAAUGCGUGAAAGCGUGGGGAGCAAACAGGAUUAGAUACCCGCGUAGUCCCUGUCUCUUAUAC